rnacentral:rRNA from 1 species
UACGUAGGGUGCGAGCGUUGUCCGGAAUUAUUGGGCGUAAAGAGCGUGUAGGCGGCUUGGUAGGUCUCGCGUCAAAACCUGAGGCUCAACCUCAGUUCGCGUGGGAAACCACCUAGCUAGAGUCCGGAAGAGGAGAACGGAAUUCCCAGUGUAGCGGUGAAAUGCGCAGAUAUUGGGAAGAACACCAGUGGCGAAGGCGGCACUCUGGGCCAGUACUGACACUGAGGAGCGAAAGCGUGGGUAGCGAACAGG